AACGAACGCUGGCGGCAUGCCUAACACAUGCAAGUCGAACGAGACCUUCGGGUUUAGUGGCGCACGGGUGCGUAACGCGUGGGAACCUGCCCUUAGGUUCGGAAUAACUGACCGUAAGGGGACCUAAUAACGGUUAAUGUCUUAGGAGCUAAGAUUUAUCGCUAUUGGGUGGGCCCGCGUUGGAUUAGCCAGUUGGUAGGGUAAAAGCCUAUCAAGGGGACGAUCCAUAGCUGGUCUGUGAGGAGGAUCAACAACACUGGGACUGCGGCACAGCCCAGACCGCGACGGGGGGCAGCAGUAGGGAACAUUAGGCACUGAGGGAAAGCCUGGUCCAGCAAUGCCGCGGGAGUGAGGAAGGCCUUAGGGUUGUAAAGCUCUUUUACCCGAGAUGAUAAUGACAGUACCGGGAGAAUAAGCUCCGGCUAACUCCGUG
rnacentral:rRNA from 1 species